UUGUCAUUUUCCUGCAAGACGGGCUUCCAUUUUACACAAGAAGUCUUUGCCAUUACGCAAAGCCAAUUGCUUCAUUGGCCAUCAGAAAAUUCAGAAGGGGUCCAUAAAUUUGCGCUUUCUUUCUUUUUGGUUUUGGUAAGUUUAUGCGCACAAUGAGCUUUCAGUAUGUGAGGUGAAUGUGUUUCUAAGGCAAAACUCUGGAGCACAAGUGAUAAAUACAUUAUUCAUGCAUUUGGAAACUGAUUUGGGGAAUGGUGGCUUUAUUGGUUAGCUUUCAUUUCAUUGUCCAACUGGUUCUGAAAGUCCCUUGCUUAUUCUGACCUUUGCUUUUACGACUUCCACAAAGUGCAUCAAAUUGAGAUAAAAGGGUUAGGUACAAACCAUCUAGAAGCAAUAUACAUAAAUGAGGAAGAUAAAUAAGUAAAUAUGUUUUGUUGUCAGUCGUUGAUAUAUUGUAAGAUUCACCACAUCGCGCUACAAUCAUAUCGAUAUGCUGAUAUAAUCACUUCUUCGUCCAUAUAGCAAAGUCAAUCAGAGCAAUAGAAGUUUCAUCCAAGCAUGUACUAAUUCACAGUUAUAAUACAGAAAUUUCCAAUCUCUCUAAUUACUAAAGUUCACAAAAUCAGUCACAGGUUAGUGAAAUUAUCCUUCUCAAAUGAAAACCAUACAAAAACACAAACUAGUCAAUAACAAAUACAAAACCCACCUUAGAAUCACUCGUUUUGCACAGACAACCGAAUUGGAAAUCCUAGAAACACCUAAAUAAAAGCACGGGUUUUGUAUGUGAGAGGAUUGACGAUGAGGAGGAAGUAUGUGAAAAAAGUCAGAACCGAAACCAAGAAUUAGGGUUUUUUGACGCCCUAAAGGAGCAGAGGAGAAGAGAAAGAUGUCGAUUGAAGACAUGAAAAGAGAGGGAACUGAGACAUUGUUGAAGGGAGAGAGCAUUAAACGAAGAAACCCUCUCUUUCACCUUCAAGAACCCCCUCAACAAACCCUAAUUUUGACUGCAGAGAGAGAACGAGAGAGUGCUACUUAGGUUUUCGCGAUAGAGGGAGAAAGAGAGUGGUGGUGGUCGAUGGAGAGAGAGCACCGAGAGAGGAAGAGAGCACCGAGAGAGGAAGAGAGAACCGUGAGAGACAGCUGAGACAGAGACAGAAGUCAGAAGUGUUAGGUCGGCAAUCAAUGGCCAAUAACUCCACAAUAGAUAUGUUUUUAUAUGGAGGGCACUUAGAUAUUUUGGGGGUCUGGACCUGGAGUUGGAAAUCCGGAAGAGAACAGGACAAAGCAAA